rnacentral:rRNA from 1 species
GACUCUUGGCAAUGAAUAUUUCUUUCUCUUGUUAUGAAAUGAAGAAUACAUAAAAAUGCAAAACUUGGCGUGAAUUACAUAAUCAUGUUAAUCAUUGAGUCUUUGAAUGAAAUUUUUGUUUGAUAUCCUUUAAAAAUUCCCUAUGGUUGGAUCC